rnacentral:lncRNA from 10 species
GGACUAGAGCAGUAGGCAACCUGGGUCCCCCCACACACACGGGAAAGAAUUGGAGGGGCCUGCCUUGUGAUGUCACCCCUCCUCCCCCCACCGCGCGCACGCGCGCGCGCACACACACAAACACAAACACACACCCCAACACACACGCCCUGUCCCCUUUCUCCACCCUGCAAGCUAGUUGCAUUUAGCUCACAGAGCCUGGGCUGCGACUUGAAAGAGUUUAGGCAGCAACAGAGUGACCCUGGGGGUGCUCUUGACCGACAGCCGCACCCCCGGCGUCUAGGACCUCCGAGCAGGGAUGCAUCUGGAGGUCUAGGGAAGCACUUCCACCCCCUCCUCUCCUCAAUCCUGGCAGGAUGCUGGGUCUUACUGGGGAUCUGGCCAGCCUUGGGGGCCCUUGGAGCCCUGGCCCAGUGGAAGCUCGUGCCUGAGGAACAUGGAGGCCACGCUAAUGGGUCUGUUCCUGGUUUCCCAGAUGCAUAAAGGAAGACAUAUCCCUCCCCUGGGCAGCAAGGCUACAAUGGGAGGGAGGGAGAACAUGGGAGCAUGUGAAUAAAAU